rnacentral:rRNA from 1 species
UACGUAGGGUUCAAGCGUUGUCCGGAAUUAUUGGGCGUAAAGAGCUCGUAGGCGGUUUGUUGCGUCGGCUGUGAAAUCCCGAGGCUCAACCUCGGGUCUGCAGUCGAUACGAGCAAACUAGAGUGUUGCAGGGGAGACUGGAAUUCCUGGUGUAGCGGUGAAAUGCGCAGAUAUCAGGAGGAACACCGGUGGCGAAGGCGGGUCUCUGGGCAACAACUGACGCUGAGGAGCGAAAGCUAGGGGAGCAAACGGG